GGAGCCCAAUGAGGCAAGUGGUAUCGGUAUCCGUAUAGUGAACCUUGAGAGACUGGACCAACGGUGUGAGCGGCUAGGCAUGGUCGAGCCAAGGACGGGGCCAGUGGCUAGCGAUGCGGAGUGAGGCUGGUUCGUUUGUAUUGGGCCUUAUGAGGCGAACCUAUGGGAGUCAAGGGAGCGGAGCGCCAUGGCAAAGCGAGGGUCGAGUGGACGGUCGAGAAGCA
rnacentral:lncRNA from 1 species